rnacentral:rRNA from 1 species
AUUGAACGCUGGCGGCAGGCCUAACACAUGCAAGUCGAGCGAGCGGCGGACGGGUGAGUAAUGUAUGGGGAUCUGCCCGAUAGAGGGGGAUAACUACUGGAAACAGGUGCUAAUACCGCAUAUUGAUGGAUGAACCCAUAUGGGAUUAGCUAGUAGGUGGGGUAAAGGCUCACCUAGGCGACGAUCUCUAGCUGGUCUGAGAGGAUGAUCAGCCACACUGGGACUGAGACACCGCCCCGAUUGCUACGGGAGGCAGCAUUGGGGAAUAUUGCACAAUGGGCGCAAGCCUGAUGCAGCCAUGCCGCGUGUAUGAAGAAGGCCUUAGGGUUGUAAACUCCUUUCACCAUCGACGCGGUAGAUGGAGAAGAAGCACCGGCUAACUACGUGCCAGCAGCCGCGGUAAUUC